rnacentral:rRNA from 1 species
UUGAAAGGGAAACGAUUGAAGUCAGUCAUACCAACGGGAAAUCAACCUUUUGAGUUUGUUCUUGUGGGUUUCGAGGAGUUUAAAAGCCUUCGGAUUUGCUAGGAUUGGGCUCUUUUGGUGUACUUUCUCGUACGGUUAGUCAACAUCGGUUUUGAAUGUCAUAAAAUGACUGGAGGAAUGUGGCUUCGAUCUCGUAUCGAAGUGUUAUAGCCUUUGGUAGAUGUGAUGUUCGAGACCGAGGAUUGCAAUGGAUACCCUUCUGGGCUAUUCGUCUGAUCUCUGAUACGUUGCCUUGAUGUCGAAAGCUCGCUUAUGAUGUUAGGGUAUUACGGUCAAAAGGUUAGAACGGAUUAAAUUCGUUAAGGAUGUUGACGUA